rnacentral:rRNA from 2 species
UUUAUAUGAGAGUUUGAUCCUGGCUCAGGAUGAACGCCGGCGGUGUGCCUAAUACAUGCAAGUCGUACGCACUGGCCCAACUGAUUGAUGGUGCUUGCACCUGAUUGACGAUGGAUCACCAGUGAGUGGCGGACGGGUGAGUAACACGUAGGUAACCUGCCCCGGAGCGGGGGAUAACAUUUGGAAACAGAUGCUAAUACCGCAUAACAACAAAAGCCACAUGGCUUUUGUUUGAAAGAUGGCUUUGGCUAUCACUCUGGGAUGGACCUGCGGUGCAUUAGCUAGUUGGUAAGGUAACGGCUUACCAAGGCGAUGAUGCAUAGCCGAGUUGAGAGACUGAUCGGCCACAAUGGAACUGAGACACGGUCCAUACUCCUACGGGAGGCAGCAGUAGGGAAUCUUCCACAAUGGGCGCAAGCCUGAUGGAGCAACACCGCGUGAGUGAAGAAGGGUUUCGGCUCGUAAAGCUCUGUUGUUGGAGAAGAACGUGCGUGAGAGUAACUGUUCACGCAGUGACGGUAUCCAACCAGAAAGUCACGGCUAACUACGUGCCAGCAGCCGCGGUAAUACGUAGGUGGCAAGCGUUAUCCGGAUUUAUUGGGCGUAAAGCGAGCGCAGGCGGUUGCUUAGGUCUGAUGUGAAAGCCUUCGGCUUAACCGAAGAAGUGCAUCGGAAACCGGGCGACUUGAGUGCAGAAGAGGACAGUGGAACUCCAUGUGUAGCGGUGGAAUGCGUAGAUAUAUGGAAGAACACCAGUGGCGAAGGCGGCUGUCUGGUCUGCAACUGACGCUGAGGCUCGAAAGCAUGGGUAGCGAACAGGAUUAGAUACCCUGGUAGUCCAUGCCGUAAACGAUGAGUGCUAGGUGUUGGAGGGUUUCCGCCCUUCAGUGCCGGAGCUAACGCAUUAAGCACUCCGCCUGGGGAGUACGACCGCAAGGUUGAAACUCAAAGGAAUUGACGGGGGCCCGCACAAGCGGUGGAGCAUGUGGUUUAAUUCGAAGCUACGCGAAGAACCUUACCAGGUCUUGACAUCUUGCGCUAACCUUAGAGAUAAGGCGUUCCCUUCGGGGACGCAAUGACAGGUGGUGCAUGGUCGUCGUCAGCUCGUGUCGUGAGAUGUUGGGUUAAGUCCCGCAACGAGCGCAACCCUUGUUACUAGUUGCCAGCAUUAAGUUGGGCACUCUAGUGAGACUGCCGGUGACAAACCGGAGGAAGGUGGGGACGACGUCAGAUCAUCAUGCCCCUUAUGACCUGGGCUACACACGUGCUACAAUGGACGGUACAACGAGUCGCAACUCGCGAGAGUAAGCUAAUCUCUUAAAGCCGUUCUCAGUUCGGACUGUAGGCUGCAACUCGCCUACACGAAGUCGGAAUCGCUAGUAAUCGCGGAUCAGCAUGCCGCGGUGAAUACGUUCCCGGGCCUUGUACACACCGCCCGUCACACCAUGGGAGUUUGUAACGCCCAAAGUCGGUGGCCUAACCUUUAUGGAGGGAGCCGCCUAAGGCGGGACAGAUGACUGGGGUGAAGUCGUAACAAGGUAGCCGUAGGAGAACCUGCGGCUGGAUCACCUCCUUUCU